ensembl:ncRNA T02E9.26 ncRNA
UGUGUCUUGUCUUGACUUUCUGGCGGUCCCAGUUGUUUUCUUCAAAAAUUUCCUGUUAGUAUUAAAAGGGGACCUAGAUAAAGUUCAUCUCAUUAGUCAGACAGCUUGAAAACGAACAAUGGCUCAUUUGAAAUGUUCGUGAUUUUCAGUAUUAUAAGCUUUAUUACAAAGCUGAAUAAUUGUUUUGAGAGUAUUACU